UUUUUCAGCUUCUUGGUCUGAAAAUGUAUCAUGAGGCUAGAUUAAUAGGCUACACCAGAAGUAGGUGACACAGAGAUGAAGAAGAAAUAUGCUUGUCCUGCAAGAGGCAAUUGUGGUUUGCAAUAAGAUACAAAAGUGGGCAAGCCAAGGAAUGCUCAAGGAAAUAAGUUAUUUACUAUUCUUUCAGUGAUUUCCCAUAGCAAUUUCCCUAAUGCAACUUCAAAGGAGAGGCCAGGAAAUCUAUCCAGGUCACAUUAGUCAGAUGUGUGCCUGUGUAUGGAUUAUUCUGUGCAGUACCUAUUCACAUGUCAAAUUAGGAGGUUUGCUUACUCCUUUUGGUCCAAUUAUUGGCUAAGUCUCAAUCUAUCUUCUACCCUUUCCCGAUUCUUAACACCCUCCCCACUCCAUCUCCUUUUAGGAUUGAUUCAGGAUGAGCCACAAGCAAAAAUCUUCUGCAACCUCCAAGUUUCUUCUGAACAUCCCUUUACUUCUUGGUCUACCUGACUCUCUCCUAUGGAUACCACUUCCCUGGAAGACUCUCAGGUCUUUAACUUAAAAUAUUCUGGGAAAGAAGGCUUUGAAGAUAUUAAAUGUUCAAAUUUUGAAUUCUGAGGAUAAAAAUGUCAUGUUAAUAAAUUAAUCUCUUACUACUAAAACUCACCAGUAAAAUGCAAAAAUUGAAUUAGCUGAAUUGCCAAAACACUCUUAAUAACAAAUCAGCAUAUAUACACAUCAUGGUUAUAAAGGUUUAUAAAUAUUAUAAUAAUAUGAGUAAUCUGCAUUAUUUUAGGAAGCAGCUUCUCUAUGCUGUCACAUAAAUAUGAUUCCACUGGGUGUGACAAGAAAUAAGAGUCUGAAUAAAUUUGGUCAUAAAACAAUGCAGUAACACUAAAGUACACAGAACAAUAAUUGGUAUGCUGAUGCACUACCCUUUUUUUUUGAAGCUCCUAAAAGCUUACAGACCUCAUUUCAUGAUUUUUCCCUUACAAAAAAUUUUUAUUCAUAUUUAUGUGGACACAGGCAUACCUAUAAAGUAAGAUACAUUUAUCUCCACUGAAAGAUCAAUGAAUGAAUUCUAGAUAAAUAAUGCAAUGUGUGUUAUACAGAACUCUGCAAAACAUAUACUUCCACAUUAUACUCUCAGACAAAAGCACAGAAAAUUAGAAGCUGGAAAUGAUUAUGCCAGAUUUUUGGAGUUUUAAUUUAGUGAGACUGUUAGACCUACAGAAUUUCCAUUAGGGACUUGGCAAGAAGAUGUUAAAAGGACAAGUAUAAAAUAUAAUACAUAAAAAUGAGGCAAUGUAGAUUUAAAAAAAAUAUAACAAUAAAACCAUCCACCUAACAUGAAACCUCAUGAUAAUCUUCCUGCUUUUGAUUACUCCUAAUGCAUACAAUUCAAGAACUCAGAUUUAGAACACUAAGGAACAAUAUGGAUCUAUAGGCAACUAAGAAAUAAUGAACAAAUAAAAUACCACUGUAGUUUAUAUUUUCUUUCUAAGGUAAAGGUAAUUGUACAAGACGAAUUGACUAUUAAGUAGCAGUUUGAUGCUAUGCUUGCUGGAAACAUAUGUGCUAAGUACCCAAUUAUGUACAAAUAAUAAGCUCUAUUGAGCAUGAAUAUAUUAUUAAAUUGUACUGUUUACUAUGAAAAAAAUUAAAAAUAUGUAAUUCACAAUCACAUGAAAAUAAAUCUCCAAAAGACUCAAUGACUACCAUGAUUUCCUCAACUCUUUCCCAAAACAAAUAUGAAAUGUUAUUUUGGAAGUACUCAACGUUUUAGAAGAAUUAGAUAACAUUUGAUAACUCAAAUCAUUCAAUGAUUCACUUGUUUUAAGCAUAUUAAGGGUAUUUCUUUAAUGGCAAAAUACUUUAUUAUUCUGAUCUAUCUCAUUUUAAAACAAUUAAAAUUAUCAAGUGUUUAAUGCUUAUUAAAACAUAAGUGAUUCAUUCAAUGCAACAGACACAAUAGGAAAAUAUAUUUAAAAAAUCUUGCAUAUCAUUUUUACUUAUUGCUAUUAUUCUCACCAAUUCUGUGAAGUCUAGAAAACUUGGACUACUUUUCUUGAGGAAAUAUAUGAUCUUAGUUAACUAAUAUUGACUGGGAAUAAAUAAAAUAUUUUUUUGUUAUUUUUAUCUUCAGAAAAUAAUGGAAUUAUCAAGUGUACAUUCCAUAUAGCUAACUGUAGUUAAAACACAAAAUUAACAAUGGGUUGCUCCUGAAGUCUCUAUUCUUAGAUAUUAGGAACACUUAUGUAACAUUUCUUAUUUUUCACUUAUUUUUUAAAAUUACAGUUAAUGCAAAAGUUAAUCACCCUAGUCAAAAUUACACAGUUUAAAAUUCUAUAUCUCUGUGUAUAUAUUCAUAUACAUACACACACGUACACAUAUAUACAUUUAUAUAUAAAGCAAUAAAACUUCAAUGUUUUAACAAAAUAUCUCUAAAAGUUCAGAAGUUACUUACUUUCUAUCAAGAUGCAUUGGAGGAAUCAUGAUGUCCCAAUUUAUAAAAGAAAAACAAAGAAAAAAAAGAAGAAAAGAAAGUUAGUUUUCCAACAUUAAACAUGAUUCCACAUUUUACCAUUUCCACACAUAGGACAAUGUGUAAGAACUAGACCAAAGCCUUAGAUUUGGCUGCCUAUGAGAAGAUGGGAAGGAAAAAAAGGUCAGUAGGCUAAAAGUGACUUUGCUUUCCUUCCUAAUUCUUCUACAAUGUUUUCAUUUUGUUCAUAAUGCACAUAUAUUUCCAGAUUAUAAAUACAAUAAGAAACAACUAAGCAGGACAAUGUACACCCCCAAUUCUUUUCUUUCUUCCAUCCUCUAUAACUGGGCCUUUUCCUAUACACCUGCCAGGAUAGAUAUACAGCUUAUUCUGUUUAUUUGUUUUUUCCCCUAGACUGUAAGGUUGUGGAACCCUUCUGGUUUGUUUUCAUUUCCCACAACCCCUGAAGCAGAACAGGGGUGGAAUUUGGAGGCAGGGGAGCAGGCAUAAUUUAAACUGUCUAGACAUCAAAGAACCCCCAGAGACACUUUGCAGAGCCCCAGUGCUGUGUGAAACACAGAAAAACCACUGCUUUAUACCAUCAAAAUGCUGAUGGGACAUACAACAUUUUACUAAUAGUAGACACUUGGUGAAGGGAAUGAAUAGCCUCUCUAUUUAAAUAACUUUAAAAUCCAGGAAGAAUAGUGGAGAAUGUGACUGAAAGACUAUUUGCAAACAUGACAAAGAAAUAUCAUAAUCAUGGGCCUCCAUUCCUUUAUACAUAAAGUAAAAUGCUUUACAUGACAGUACUGAAGUAAGCUUAAUAUUAAACUAUUUUAUUAAUGUACCUGUUACUUUAUAAGAAUUUAGAUGGAAGCUAUUUCUCAUAAACAUUUUUAAAUCUCAUUUUCAGAUAUGGAAAUAUAAAAAAAUAAUCCUUUGCAACAUAAGUGUAAAAACAGAUUGAACAAGCAAUUAUUAAGCACCAUUAGUUAUUAGAAGUACUAUUAAUAUCAACAAUUAUACGCUCACUCUCCUUUCAGAAAAAUUAUAAUUGCUUUGUUCAAGUAUUUCCAGUAUCAGUUUUCAGAAAAUAUCUUAAUUAUAAAGAACACAUCUUUAAGAGAAAAGUAUGUGGGCCGCUGGCAAUGCAAAUAUGAUUUCAGCUGUUGAUCUCUGUGUUUGGGUUAUAAAAUUAAAUUGUUUAUACUUAGGAUAUAUGCACUUAAAUCUACACGUUUUACUUCACAAAAAAAGUUUUUGAAUGUUAAAAAGGAAAUAAUGUACCUUUGGAUAUAUUUGACUAUUCAUUCUACAAGUGGAAAAUUAAACUAUUUUUACCAGUGAAUGAGGAUAACAUCUAAGCACACAUAGUAAUAUAGUAUAUAUCAGCUGAUAAAGCAGAGGCCUAGAUGAAUAAAAAGAACCCUAAAAGACCAAACUAAUGUCUACUCUAAAGAAAUAUUACUACUAGUAAGAGAUUUUCUUAAAUGACUGCUAAUAAAACCUUUAUUAAAUACUAAGGUCUUUUGUAUGUUAUAUGAAUAAUACAUGCAUGUAAGUAUGUAAUUGUUAUCUGAAUAACUCCAGCACAAAACAUGCACAAAAAUGACCAAAGUAAGCUUGAAAUUGACUUUGAAGAACAGUCUCCUAAACUGCACAUUCCCUUCAAGAAGCUCACUAAUGAGAGUUUGAUGAACACUGACACAGGAGAAAUAACAGAUUAGAGGUUAGGGGGAAAAAAAAGCAGGAAUAACUCAGGAACUCAAAUAAGAGAUGGGUUAAAGGAAGAUAUUGGGUAAAUUUCUAUGUAAACAUAUGUACAUGAUUUUCAAUAUUCGGCAUGUCUGUAAUAGAAAUGUAAUCCUAGUACUCUUUUAUCAGAUGAAGAUAUUGAGACAAGAAAUGAUCAUCAAAUGCCAUAUAUUAUGCAACUUACUUCUGGAAUUCUUAAAUGAGAAUUUCAGACUUCAACCUUAAUGCACAUCUGAUGGACUUCAAUAGAAGAAGAUAUUCUUAAACAGAUAUUGAAACUUAGACGUUUUAUCCAUUUCUAUAGACUAUGAUGCUACUACUAAACAGAUGUGAUUCAUACAUUGUUACUAAACUGACAAUAAUUAGGAAACAAAAAUUUCAAAACAUUAAAAGAUAAAAGUUUAAUUAGUAUCAUUUUAAAAUAGGACCUAUAAGGACAUUAAAUAUCCCUAUAAGUAUAAACAAAGUAUAAAAUCUAUAUUAUAAUUUUCAAAGUCUUUCCAGUAAAACAGGAGGACAGAUAUCAUCUUUGACUGAAGACAUCCAACAGCCUGUAUGCCACAUAUGGGGCUCGAUAUUGAUAACUCUUCCUCUACAAACAUGCAUGUCCUGACACGCCACGUUAGCCUGCUCACUACGGAAGGCCACAGAAUGAACAAGACUGUGGUCCCUGAAGGCUGGCAGCCUGAGUUCAACUGAGGCAGACUAUUCACAAGAUGAAUCACAAUGAACUCAGCCUUCCUGGGUCUCACUCUCUUCAACUACAAAAUGUGAACACUCAAAGUCACUAUAUCAUAGAGAACUAUUCUAAAGAUGAAAUAAGUCAAAACAUGGAAAACAUUUAGAAUGAUGUUUGACAUGUUCUAAGUGUUCAAAAGUUACCACUGCUACUCAACAUAACCAAUAUCUAUCUGUAGGCUCAAAGAACGGAAAAUGGAAAGAAAUUAGUAUUUCACAUCUUGUUUAAAAAAUUGGUUCAGAAAAAAAAAUACAUGUAUAAAGACAUGAAAGAAAGAAAAAAAAAGAACUGGUUCAGUUAAGAUACUGUUUAAGUUCUAAUUUCAUUUUCAUCUCAUUAGUAAGAAUUAGCAAGUGAAGACAAAGGCAGUGAAACUCCUAGUCUGCAGUCCUUCACAUGUGAAUAAUAUUGAAAAUCAGGGAUGACUUACACAGUCAGAAUACAGAGAAAACAACAGCAAUAAAUGAUUAUUACAGUUAUUGAUUAUUAAGAACAUCUAAAAUGUGUCUAGGCUUUCACAACUGAUCCAUAUUUCUUAUAUCCCUGACAGCUACAUAAGAUGUAAGCAUGAUUCCCAGUUUUACAGAUGUGGCUGAGGCUCAGAUAUUAAGAAUCUUAUUGAUGUACAAUAACAACUAAGUGAUAAAGUGAAAUCCAAAAUUGAAUCUAAUUCCAAAACUUUCCACUGUCCUAUAUUCUGUCUCCACAAAACUGCCUGCUCCACUUCAUCCAUCUUGACUACAAAAGGAAGAAUAUUUAGCACUUGAAGGAAACACACCAAGAAAAGCCAGAUGUUGCUGAAUAGUAAGGUGGUUGGCUCCAUCUUAAGUCAACACUGCAUAUGGCUUUGAAUUCCACAGCACAGAUUUUAAAUAUUAUAAAUAUAGACCUAGGCUAUAGAAGAUUUUGUCAGUUUUCUUACUUGGGUAACACUAUCCCUGGAAACUAAGGAAGAACAAACUUUGAGAAAAUAUGAGAGAGAAUUCAGACCUACAAUUGAGAUGCCUUUGUAGAAUUGGAUCAUUAAAGAAAAACAAUCCAUUCAUUGAACAAACAUUUAUUCAAACACUAUAUAUGUCAAGAUAAUCUUGAAAUAAAUUUGCACUCUGACAGUGCUUCACACAUAAUAGAAGUGUAGGCUGAACUGAACUGAAUUUUCUGAAUACAUAUGAAAGGACUGGGAUUCGGGAAAAAGGCUGCCAUGGGGCACAUUACAAAUGUGAGGUGAACCAUUUAGAAUUGAAAUGUUGCCCUUAGUUUAUUCCAAGGAGGUGACUGGAGAUAUGAUCAUGUGUAGAUUUCUCAUGUCAUCAACUCCAAAUGCAACAGUCAAUCCAUGUCCACUGAUGACUCUCUGGGACUAUACACUUUUUCCCCAGUCAUGCAAGCCCAAAGAGAAUACUGCCAGAUCAAAAUGAAAAUUUGUACAUUCUACUAGGACCUACGCAUCCUUUUCCAUCUUGUCAGCAACAGUUAACACCACAACUCCCUUCCCAAAAUCUGUUCUCUGGGAUAUUAGUUCCAAGUGAUGCUC